rnacentral:lncRNA from 1 species
CCAGCCAUUAAAAUGAAAAUGUCAUGUAAAAUUACUUAAUUACAAACAAAAUUUACCAGUUCCAUCAUUCUCAGCUCCAGAUAUUCCCAUGAGCUUCUCCCAGGCAGACGAGCCACAGGACGCUUGGGGUGAACACUCACCUGACAUUCAAGAGAACACAUUCUCUGUCCUGAGACUCUCUCAAGACCAAAGACCAUCAACCACACAUCAAGGAAGAAUGCAGACUGCAGUUGUUCCAGUGAGCUUGUCCAAUGAAAAUGAGCAAGAGGAUGCUUGGGGUGAACACCCAUCUAACUUUCAAGGUAAAAGAACAUUCAUAAACACAUACACUGCAAAUUAAUAUCACUAGGUAACAUUACAUUUUCUGUACAAUCCAUCAGAGGACACAAUCGCUGAACUGAGACCCUCAAGUACCCACCAGGCAAGAACAAAAAGUAAGUAAUUUGUAUUUUUUUAAUGGGCAGUUGCAGAGUGAAUUAUUAUUUAUUA